UGGGGAAUAUUGCACAAUGGGCGCAAGCCUGAUGCAGCAACGCCGCGUGAGGGAUGACGGCCUUCGGGUUGUAAACCUCUUUUAGCAGGGAAGAAGCGAAAGUGACGGUACCUGCAGAAAAAGCGCCGGCUAACUACGUGCCAGCAGCCGCGGUAAUACGUAGGGCGCAAGCGUUAUCCGGAAUUAUUGGGCGUAAAGAGCUCGUAGGCGGUUUGUCGCGUCUGCUGUGAAAUCCCGAGGCUCAACCUCGGGUCUGCAGUGGGUACGGGCAGACUAGAGUGCGGUAGGGGAGAUUGGAAUUCCUGGUGUAGCGGUGGAAUGCGCAGAUAUCAGGAGGAACACCGAUGGCGGAGGCAGAUCUCUGGGCCGUAACUGACGCUGAGGAGCGAAAGGGUGGGGAGCAAACAGGCUUAGAUACCCUGGUAGUCCACCCCGUAAACGUUGGGAACUAGUUGUGGGGUCCAUUCCACGGAUUCCGUGACGCAGCUAACGCAUUAAGUUCCCCGCCUGGGGAGUACGGCCGCAAGG
rnacentral:rRNA from 1 species